UGGGGAAUUUUGGACAAUGGGCGAAAGCCUGAUCCAGCCAUGCCGCGUGAGUGAAGAGGGCCUUCGGGUUGUUAGGCUCUUUCCCCNGGAAGGAACCCGGAUUGGGUAAUACCCAGUAUUGAUGACGGUACCGGAAUAAGAAGCACCGGCUAACUACGUGCCAGCAGCCGCGGUAAU
rnacentral:rRNA from 1 species